rnacentral:rRNA from 1 species
UACGUAGGGGGCGAGCGUUGUCCGGAUUUAUUGGGCGUAAAGAGCGUGUAGGCGGUUCGGUAAGUCUGUCGUGAAAUCCUGAGGCUCAACCUCGGACGUGCGAUGGAUACUGCCGGGCUAGAGGAUGGUAGAGGCGAGUGGAAUUCCCGGUGUAGCGGUGAAAUGCGUAGAUAUCUGGAGGAACACCGGUGGCGAAGGCGGCGUCCUGGACCAAUACUGACACUGAUGAGCGAAAGCCAGGGGAGCAAACGGG